rnacentral:rRNA from 1 species
GAUCAUGGCUCAGGAUGAACGCUAGCGGCAGGCCUAACACAUGCAAGUCGCGGGGCAGCACGGGUAGCAAUACCUGGUGGCGACCGGCGCACGGGUGCGUAACGCGUAUGCAACCUGCCCCCAUCAGGGGAAUAGCCCGCCGAAAGGCGGAUUAAUGCCCCAUAGGCCCAGGGCGCCGCAUGGCGCUAUGGGUAAAGCUCCGGCGGAUGGGGAUGGGCAUGCGUGCCAUUAGCUAGUUGGGGCGGUAACGGCGCACCAAGGCGACGAUGGCUAGGGGGUCUGAGAGGAUGGUCCCCCACACUGGUACUGAGACACGGACCAGACUCCUACGGGAGGCAGCAGUGAGGAAUAUUGGUCAAUGGGCGGAAGCCUGAACCAGCCAUGCCCGCGUGCAGGAUGACGGCCCUACGGGUUGUAAACUUCUUUUGUAUAGGGAUAAACCUACCCUCGUGAGGGUAGCUGAAGGUACUAUACGAAUAAGCACCGGCUAACUCCGUGCCAGCCGCCGC